rnacentral:rRNA from 1 species
CCUACGGGAGGCAGCAGUGGGGAAUAUUGCACAAUGGGGGAAACCCUGAUGCAGCGACGCCGCGUGAGUGAAGAAGUAAUUCUUUAUGUAAAGCUCUAUCAGCAGGGAAGAAAAUGACGGUACCUGAGUAAGAAGCCCCUGCUAACUACGUGCCAGUAGCCGCGGUAAUACGUAGGGGGCAAGCGUUAUCCGGAUUUACUGGGUGUAAAGGGAGCGUAGACGGCAGUGCAAGUCUGGAGGGAAAGGCGGGGGCUCAACCCCCGGACUGCUCUGGAAACUGUACGGCUGGAGUGCAGGAGAGGUAAGUGGAAUUCCUGGUGUAGCGGUGAAAUGCGUAGAUAUUAGGAAGAACACCGAUGGCGAAGGCAGCUUACUGGACUGUAACUGACGUUGAGGCUCGAAAGCGUGGGGAGCAAACAGGAUUAGAUACCCUUGUAGUC